AAGCCACAGAAUCAGGAACAAGAACCUCCCUCAAAAGAGAAAAAGGUUGAUGUUGGAGAAGGAGAGAGCGAUUCCUCUGGUGGAGUGCCAAGUGAUGCAAUUAAUAAGCCUGUUGUCAGUGUCAACAUUGAGCCUGAACAGAAGGUGGUGCAGCAAGAUAUAGUGGACAUGUAUAUGAAGAGCAUGCAGCAAUUUACUGAGUCAUUGGCCAAGAUGAAGCUUCCUCUGGACAUCGAUAGUGGACCACCUAGUUCAACCAGUUCAGGGAAUUCAAGCACUGAUCAGAAAUUGCAGGCAUCUAAGAACACUGGUUCCCGUGUGUUUUAUGGGAGUAGGGCUUUUUUCUAAAGCUCAUUAUCCAA
rnacentral:lncRNA from 1 species